UACGUAGGCAGCGAGCGUUGUUCGGAAUUACUGGGCGUAAAGAGUGUGUAGGCGGUGCUCUAAGUUCGGUGUGAAAUCUCCGGGCUCAACUCGGAGUCUGCAUCAGAAACUGCCGUGCUUGAGUGUGGGAGAGGUGAGUGGAAUUCCCGGUGUAGCGGUGAAAUGCGUAGAUAUCGAGAGGAACACCGGUGGCGAAGGCGGCCAACUGGACGAAUACUGACGCUGAGACACGAAAGCGUGGGGAGCAAACAGG
rnacentral:rRNA from 1 species